AAGACGGUACUUUCAGGGAUCAUUUCUAGUUCGUUACUGGAAAAGCCUCUAGUAGCUGUGUAGAGGGGAGGCCUGGCGUUCUCUCCUGAGUGUGAGGCCAGUUCUUGGUGUUGCUUUGCUGCAACUGCCACUUGCCAUUGAUAUUCGUUCCUGCUCUCCUUUCCAGGGAGCUGGAGGGAGAGGAUGCAGUCUGA
rnacentral:snoRNA from 1 species